UACGUAGGGCGCAAGCGUUGUCCGGAAUUAUUGGGCGUAAAGAGCUCGUAGGCGGCUUGUCGCGUCGGUUGUGAAAGCCCGGGGCUUAACCCCGGGUCUGCAGUCGAUACGGGCAGGCUAGAGUUCGGUAGGGGAGAUCGGAAUUCCUGGUGUAGCGGUGAAAUGCGCAGAUAUCAGGAGGAACACCGGUGGUGUAGACGGCUCUCUGGACCGUAACUGACGCUGAGGCACGAAAGCGUGGGUAGCAAACAGG
rnacentral:rRNA from 1 species